AUGACUUUGAUCUCCGUCCUCAUCUGGACUCUCCUCUGCUGCUGCUUCACAGAGUCCAGAGGCCAGGUCACAGUGACUCAGCCUGGAGCAGUGAGCUCUGCUCUGGGAGGCUCCGUCUCCAUCAGCUGUAGGACCAGUCAGGAUGUUUAUGUUCUUCUCGACACCUACCACUAUUUAGCCUGGUACCAACAGAGAGAUGGAGAAACUCCUAAACUGCUCAUUUACGAUGCCACUGAGCAACAAUCAGGGAUUCCAGAUCGUUUUACAGGCAGUGGAUCAGACUCUGACUUCACUCUGACCAUCAGUGGAGUCCAGACUGAAGAUGCAGCAGUUUACUACUGUCAGAGUGUUCAUGAAAUCAACAGUCAGCUUGUGUUCACACAGUGAAAAAGCGUCGUACAAAAACCUCCCUCAGUCAGACUGAACAGAAACUGAACUGACUGCUGCAGCUGGAAG